CGCCCUCCGCGCGCGGCGGGCGGGGCGGGGGCACGGGGGGCCUACGGGAGGCAGCAGUGGGGAAUUUUACGCAAUGGGCGAAAGCCUGACGUAGCGACACCGCGUGAGCGAAGAAGCCUUUUGGGGUGUAAAGCUCUGUCAGCUGGAAAGAACACAAUGACGGUACCAGCAGAGGAAGCAUCGGCUAACUACGUGCCAGCAGCCGCGGUAAU
rnacentral:rRNA from 1 species